rnacentral:lncRNA from 1 species
AGGAAUACAAAAGAAUUUACAUCUAGUUUUGAUUUUCACAGGUCGUCGGAUAUGGAUUGCUUAGAAAGGCUCUUGACAAGGCAGACAGGACAUAGGACAAUGAUCACCUUGAAGAACAUGAGUUUUUCUUGGCUUCAAUCCUUUGGAAUUACAGAAGAGCCACUCAGUUCACCCCACCCUUUUCCAUGAAUCUUCUCAGGAUGAUGUGCUGUAUCUGAAGUUCUGAUCACCUCUAAGUCUCAGAAGAGAGAAAGGUUUUGAGAUAAAACAAGUAUUUCCUACUUACAGUAGAGGAGCACUUCUUCACUCAUGGUCUGUCUGUCUUGGAGUGGAUCCCAAGAUGGAUUUUCAGAUCCCAGCUAUCUGAAAAUAUCUUCUGACAUUUUCAAGAAUGCGCUUCAGUUUUCUGGACGCAGGUGGUGCUUAAAAAGGUGCUGCUGGGACCCUGGCAGGA